rnacentral:misc_RNA from 1 species
AAAUAAUACAUAUAUAAAUUUUUAUAUAAUAAGUCCAUGCUGAUAUUUCUUUACAAAUUUUUUCUUAUUUAUGAAUAAAUAACAGAAUUUACAAAGGUCAUUAAAUUUUCUCCUUCCUCUGCUCAAUUCUCAAAUAUUUCCUUCUGCACCACUCCGAUUCGAACCCGGGACGACCAGGUGGAUAACUCAGCCACCUCUUCUUGCCAUCUCUUUGUACAUGGUAAGUAAAAAAUCAAAACCGAUGCAAAUCAGGGAAACUCAGCCGAAUUAACUUUAGAGUGCAACUCAACUCGGCAACCGUACUCGUAUAUCUUUUGGAUCACAUAAAAUUUGCUGCGGAGAGCUUUCCUAACUCGGACUGAGUCGUCGCGGGUCAGGAUCAGAGUGUUUGUUUAUCUCUUUUAUUUUCAAGAAAUACCAACCAAAUCCCAGUUGGUAUUUUCACUUACCAGAUGGUUUUAUCAGUGAACCCAUGAAGCAAAGGUCGAGAUUCGGUCCAAAACUCAUGCUUACUCCUAACUCCGACAUGGCAAUACCUCUGGAAAUCUUCCAGAUUCAAGAAACGGGUCGAAUUCCCCGACUCUGAUCGCGAAAUGUAUCGAAUCACUUCCUCAAAUACCUUCUCGUCACAGGGAAUCGCUAAGGGACCUUGGUUAGUGAAGCCGUACUCUUCCUCAGCUUGCACUAAGAGUUUCUUGAACACCGGAUGGUUCAGGUACGUGGCGCGCACCACAAAUCUCCUGCAACUGGUACCGACGCAAACCGCCACAUGUCCAGCUGGAACGUCAGAAGGAAUACGAUUAGCUGACAUGCGAGCCUUGUUCCUCCACCGGCGCACCAAUUGUCGAAGCCUGACGAUGUGGCGGAUUCUGCUGCAUUUUCCCAUGCCAGCUGACAUAAAUAUAAAUUUCCCAAUAGAAAAGGAAAGAAAAUGAAAGAAAAGACAAGUACCCAAAAGUAGUGUAGUUAAGGCAACGGUUCCCUUCUGUUUUGUGAGAGGAAAUUCAGGGGG